CGCACGAGCGCACCCCCUAUCCUUAGUUGCCAUCGGGUAAUGCCGAGAACUCUAAGAAUACUGCCGGUUUCAAGCCGGAGGAAGGUGGGGAUGAGGUCAAGUCAUCAUGGCUCUUACGUCCAGGGCUGCACACGUGCUACAAUGGCCGGUACAAAGGGUCGCGAUACCGCGAGGUGGAGCCAAUCCCAAAAAACCGGUCUCAGUUGGGAUUGCAGUCUGCAACUCGACUGCAUGAACGUGGAAUUGCUAGUAAUCGCGGAUCAGCAUGCCGCGGUGAAUACGUUCCCGGGCCUUGUACACACCGCCCGUCACAGCACGGGAGUGAUUUGUACCAGAAGCGGGUAGGCUAACCUUCGGGAGGCCGCUCACCACGGUAUGGGUCAUGACUGCGCUAAGUCGUAACAAGGUAGCCGUAUCGGAAGGUGCGGCUGGAUCACCUCCUUU
rnacentral:rRNA from 1 species